GGAGGGGCUGUAGCUCAGUGGGAGAGCACCUGCUUUGCAUGCAGAAGGUGCCAGGUUCAAUCCCUGGCCUCUCCA